AGAGUUUGAUCAUGGCUCAGGACGAACGCUGGCGGCGUGCUUAACACAUGCAAGUCGAACGGUGAUCUUGGGAGCUUGCUCCUGGGUGAUCAGUGGCGAACGGGUGAGUAACACGUGAGUAACCUGCCCCUGACUCUGGAAUAACUUCGGGAAACCGAAGCUAAUACUGGAUAUGACACAGAGCCGCAUGGUUUCUGUGUGGAAAGUUUUUCGGUUGGGGAUGGACUCGCGGCCUAUCAGCUUGUUGGUGAGGUAACGGCUCACCAAGGCGACGACGGGUAGCCGGCCUGAGAGGGCGAUCGGCCACACUGGGACUGAGACACGGCCCAGACUCCUACGGGAGGCAGCAGUGGGGAAUAUUGCACAAUGGGCGAAAGCCUGAUGCAGCGACGCCGCGUGAGGGAUGAAGGCCUUCGGGUUGUAAACCUCUUUCAGUAGGGAAGAAGCGAAAGUGACGGUACCUACAGAAGAAGCACCGGCUAACUACGUGCCAGCAGCCGCGGUAAUACGUAGGGUGCGAGCGUUGUCCGGAAUUAUUGGGCGUAAAGAGCUUGUAGGCGGUUUGUCGCGUCUGCCGUGAAAAUCCGGGGCUCAACUCCGGACUUGCGGUGGGUACGGGCAGACUAGAGUGUGGUAGGGGAGACUGGAAUUCCUGGUGUAGCGGUGAAAUGCGCAGAUAUCAGGAGGAACACCGAUGGCGAAGGCAGGUCUCUGGGCCACUACUGACGCUGAGAAGCGAAAGCGUGGGGAGCGAACAGGAUUAGAUACCCUGGUAGUCC
rnacentral:rRNA from 1 species